AGAGUUUGAUCCUGGCUCAGGAUGAACGCUGGCGGCGUGCUUAACACAUGCAAGUCGAACGAUGAUCCCAGCUUGCUGGGGGAUUAGUGGCGAACGGGUGAGUAACACGUGAGUAACCUGCCCUUAACUCUGGGAUAAGCCUGGGAAACUGGGUCUAAUACCGGAUAUGACUCCUCAUCGCAUGGUGGGGGGUGGAAAGCUUUAUUGUGGUUUUGGAUGGACUCGCGGCCUAUCAGCUUGUUGGUGAGGUAAUGGCUCACCAAGGCGACGACGGGUAGCCGGCCUGAGAGGGUGACCGGCCACACUGGGACUGAGACACGGCCCAGACUCCUACGGGAGGCAGCAGUGGGGAAUAUUGCACAAUGGGCGAAAGCCUGAUGCAGCGACGCCGCGUGAGGGAUGACGGCCUUCGGGUUGUAAACCUCUUUCAGUAGGGAAGAAGCGAAAGUGACGGUACCUGCAGAAGAAGCGCCGGCUAACUACGUGCCAGCAGCCGCGGUAAUACGUAGGGCGCAAGCGUUAUCCGGAAUUAUUGGGCGUAAAGAGCUCGUAGGCGGUUUGUCGCGUCUGCCGUGAAAGUCCGGGGCUCAACUCCGGAUCUGCGGUGGGUACGGGCAGACUAGAGUGAUGUAGGGGAGACUGGAAUUCCUGGUGUAGCGGUGAAAUGCGCAGAUAUCAGGAGGAACACCGAUGGCGAAGGCAGGUCUCUGGGCAUUAACUGACGCUGANGAGCGAAAGCAUGGGGAGCGAACAGGAUUAGAUACCCUGGUAGUCC
rnacentral:rRNA from 1 species